UGGGGAAUAUUGCGCAAUGGGGGCAACCCUGACGCAGCCAUGCCGCGUGAAUGAAGAAGGCCUUCGGGUUGUAAAGUUCUUUCGGUGACGAGGAAGGCGUGAUGUUUAAUAGGCAUCACGAUUGACGUUAAUCACAGAAGAAGCACCGGCUAACUCCGUGCCAGCAGCCGCGGUAAUACGGAGGGUGCGAGCGUUAAUCGGAAUAACUGGGCGUAAAGGGCACGCAGGCGGCUAUUUAAGUGAGGUGUGAAAUCCCCGGGCUUAACCUGGGAAUUGCAUUUCAGACUGGGUAGCUAGAGUACUUUAGGGAGGGGUAGAAUUCCAUGUGUAGCGGUGAAAUGCGUAGAGAUGUGGAGGAAUACCGAAGGCGAAGGCAGCCCCUUGGGAAUGUACUGACGCUCAUGUGCGAAAGCGUGGGGAGCAAACAGGAUUAGAUACCCUGGUAGUCCACGCUGUAAACGCUGUCGAUUUGGGGAUUGGGCCUUGAGCUUGGUGCCCGAAGCUAACGUGAUAAAUCGACCGCCUGGGGAGUACGGCCGCAAGGUUA
rnacentral:rRNA from 1 species